rnacentral:lncRNA from 15 species
CGGGAAGUGGUUCCCCCCAUCCUUUGUACCUUGACUCCGGUCCUGCGGCUCUCAGGAGUCACUGAAGCUGUUUUAUUCCCGCACUGUAGAUUUUCCACCAAACUGGACUGGACCGACUCUCCCAUUUUAACAAGUUUUUAUUACAAUUCAACAUUUUCAGACAUUCCCAGCUGUUUCCAGUCGGAUCCUGUCUCAUUCACUACAUUACAUUUUUUUUAAUUUUUAAUUUUUUGGUCACUUUUUUUUCUCCUUCUACUCCGGUUGGAUUUACAAAGGGCGUGUUUGGGGGCGAUCUGUACCGGGAGUUUCAUCUCCUGUACUUGCGCGACUCCUGAGGAAUGACAGCAACUGGAAAGGGACUGCGAUCCGCCUGAAUGGAAACAAUGGAUUAUAAGGAGCUUGGACAUAAUUUCGAGCAGAAGCUGACACUAACAGACAAAUCUCUGCCUCUACAGCCAGAGUCCAUCCAGAAAGGGGACAAGUCUUCGGGGAAGGACCCUCUGACUUCUGACGACUCAGCCAUCGGAGACCUCUCUCCUAAAACAGACUCCAGCCCCCAAACAGAGACCCCCACCAAUACAGAUGCCUCCUCCAAGACAGAUGUCAGGCCAUCCACCCCGGGCAGCAGCAGCAGCCCUCAGCCCAAGAAAGAUUCGAUGAGUUCAGAGCAACGGCAGAAACUUGCCAAGGAGCGGAGAGAGGAAAGAGCUCGAUAUAUCGGUAAGAAAUGA